GCACAACACGUCCAUAUAAAUUUGCUAACCGGCCGGGAAGCAACUCACGCCAAUCAUAUCUAUGCUAUUUCCGUGAUCAAUAAAAACUAGAGCAGAGAGUUCAAGGAUGCAGGAGAUUGUGGGACUCGUGGCAACUAGAGAUUUGAUUGCUUUGGUUGGAAUGGGUGAACUCAAUAACUAAAACUAUCUCCAACAAUAACACACAAAAUACAAGACUCAUUCAACAUUUAGAUAGUGCAACAAGCAAAAGGGUUCAAUACCCAUUCGAGAUAUUCUCCAACAACAAAACCCAAAAGAGAAUCCUUUCUGCACAUGGCUUUCCAGAAGAGAGGAUACUCAUAUUUAGGUUGUGCCUCUAGGCAACCUAAAAUUGGUCUGUAUAGGUACUCUAUUGGAAGCUAAUUUUAGGUCUCCUUCUACCCAUGUUGGGUUUAGGUGCUCAUAUAUGGGUCACUUGUUGGAGACAGUCUAAAGAACUGCAGUUAAUUUUCUUCAUCUUAUCCUUCUUGUCUUGUUACCUAACCAACAAACAAGCCAACCAAUGGUUAAGGGGAUGUUGGUUUGCGGGUAGGCCCGCAUCACUUGCAUCCUAACUUGGGGCAUUCGGAAUCCUUGGCUUCUACAAGCUGAUCCAUAACAUCGUUUCACUUAGUGUUGAUAUCACACAACUUUUUUUUCUUUCUUUGUUUUUUUAUUUUUGCAAUUGUCCAUCGAACUCUGUGUGAGCUUGAGAAAAAGAUACAAUGAAAUCACACAUUAUAUUUCUAGUUCAAUAGUAAUUAAUACAUGCAAGUUUAUGGUUUAAACUUCAACUUAAAUAAUUCUUUUCAAAGAAAUAAUUCAACUUAAAGAAUUAAUUAUCUUUCAGACACUGGAUGUUGAUCCUAAAAUUGAUCACCAUGCCUUGAAAAGCCAAAAUGAGGAAGUCACUGAAAAGUCUGGUAAGCACAAUCCAAUACCAGAAAAAAGAAAUAUAUUUUUCCUUUUAUUGAUUAUUUCCAUAUUGAUGCUCCCAAAUCUUAUUCAGGUGGCAUCACAGGUAACGAGAAUGUUUAGAGUUAUGCGACUCUACAAUUACUUCAGAAGACGCAAAUGAUAUACAAUAUGUUUUUUUGAACGAAAGAUGAUACAGUAUGUUACAUAUUGCAAUUCAUUUGUGAAGUUAGAGGCAUUGAUCAUAAUUCUUCUUUUUAUUGAUAACUGAAUGUGUAAUCAUCAUAGU
rnacentral:lncRNA from 1 species